rnacentral:rRNA from 1 species
AACGAACGCUGGCGGCAUGCCUAACACAUGCAAGUCGAACGAGACCUUCGGGUCUAGUGGCGCACGGGUGCGUAACGCGUGGGAACCUGCCCUUAGGUUCGGAAUAACUCCCCGAAAGGGGUGCUAAUACCGGAUAAUGUCUUCGGACCAAAGAUUUAUCGCCUUUGGAUGGGCCCGCGUUGGAUUAGCUAGUUGGUAGGGUAAAAGCCUACCAAGGCGACGAUCCAUAGCUGGUCUGAGAGGAUGAUCAGCCACACUGGGACUGAGACACGGCCCAGACGCCUACGGGAGGCAGCAGUGGGGAAUAUUGGACAAUGGGCGAAAGCCUGAUCCAGCAAUGCCGCGUGAGUGAUGAAGGCCUUAGGGUUGUAAAGCUCUUUUACCCGGGAUGAUAAUGACAGUACCGGGAGAAUAAGCUCCGGCUAACUCCGU